UACGUAAGGUCUGAGCGUUGUCCGGAAUCAUUGGGCGUAAAGGGUACGUAGGCGGAUAAGCAAGUUAGAAGUGAAAGGCUAUAGCUCAACUGUAGGAAGCUGUGAAAACUGUUUAACUUGAGAGAUGGAAGGGAAAGUGGAAUUCCUAGUGUAGCGGUGAAAUGCGCAGAUAUUAGGAGGAAUACCGGUGGCGAAGGCGACUUUCUGGACAUCAACUGACGCUGAGGUACGAAAGCGUGGGUAGCAAACAGG
rnacentral:rRNA from 1 species